UAAAUGAUAUAUCAUAUUCAUAUAUGCAAGAACUGACAAAACAGCAAUUUAAACACAAAGAGAAUGUUACUUACGACAAUCUGUUUCAGUAAAGAUAAUAUUAUUUCUACCAACAAACUUCCUUAGAUUCAAGGCUGCGUUAGCCAAAUCGCUGAUAACAUUAUGUGACAUGAAUAAUAACUUGAGAUAGGAUGCGAAUGGUAAAUACCUUGACAUACACUCUAUUGAUGAGAGGUUUUUAAACUUUUCUCUUCAUCUACUCAACCUGCAGAAACACUCACACAAUCUUUGAAUAUCGUUAGCAUAGAGAUGAUAUGCCUUCCGCCAAACCUCAUAAUGCUCUAUAGGAUGAAAAAUUUGACAUUCGAUUCAACAGAAUUCCAAAAUGUGACAUCAGCUUCAAUUCAAUAGAAUUCCAUAGCAACGAUACAAGUCGAUAAUCAAUUAAUUCCAAAUCUUCUUUCAACAUUGCAUCAAUAUCUGAAUCCUUAACUCAAUAAAACACUCCCAGUUCAAAUAGUUCUUCUUACCAUUCAACUAAUAAGACAGUCUGACAAAUAUUGACCCAAAAACCUUAACUCAGCAAAAGAUUACCAGUUCAAAUAGUUCUUAUUACCCUUCAAUUCAAUGUUUCCUUGGUAAUAAUUGAAACACAAACAAAAUUAGAUUUUCUCCAUAGGAUCUUAACAAGAUCAUUCUACUGAAUUUCGUGUGAAGAUAUGAUGUUUCAGCAAAUAAACUUUUUUCAACAACACCAAAUAAAGAGGUCUGAGUCGUAGAAAUAGUGAGCAGCCUACAGGGUGCAUGUGGAUAGACUGCAAAAACAACGAACCAACAUGUCGCAGGCAAAGAACAAGUAGAAACAAACCUUAAACUUGAGACUGACAAACUGAAGGGGUCCCAAUGGAUCCAGGACACAAAAUCGAGCACGGUGCAACAUACACGAUUAAAAACAGACCAAAGAGGGGCGUGCGUGAGUUACAUCCCCCGACGAGUGACGAGAGUGGGGCCGCGUGGAGGUGUUGAAAAUCCUUUUAGAUAAUAGAUUACCUGUAUGGACACAGAUUGAAAUGCACAAUGGCAGUUGAUGAUGUUCACAAAAGACCAACUACUCAUAAAUAGCUCACUAUAACAAAAUUGUAACAAGGAUUUUAAAUUUGAGGAAAUCAAGAUUAUGAAUUAACUUCCGAUGCAGAAUUGAAUAGAAAAUAUUAACAGACACUAUAUGGUCCACUACUCAGUAAUGUCCUUUGCUACUU
rnacentral:lncRNA from 1 species